UUUUUUUUUGAACAAUGGUCUGCCAAGUGGAACCUGGACUUUAUUUUUUGUUUAUUUAAGACUGGGAAGAAAGAAAGGGAUGGGGGAUAAACACAACUUGUCUUUGCUAAGGGAUGGGUUCCGAAGUUAACCUUAUCGAAGAGAGACGAAAAGGAUGAAGGGCGGGGGUCCGAAGUUAACCUUAUCGGAAAGAGAAUAACGAGGUCCUCA
rnacentral:lncRNA from 1 species